rnacentral:rRNA from 1 species
UACGUAGGGUGCAAGCGUUAAUCGGAAUUACUGGGCGUAAAGCGUGCGCAGGCGGUUUUGUAAGUCUGACGUGAAAUCCCCGGGCUCAACCUGGCAAUUGCGUUGGAGACUGCAAGGCUAGAAUCUGGCAGAGGGGGGUAGAAUUCCACGUGUAGCAGUGAAAUGCGUAGAGAUGUGGAGGAACACCGAUGGCGAAGGCAGCCCCCUGGGUCAAGAUUGACGCUCAUGCACGAAAGCGUGGGGAGCAAACAGG